rnacentral:rRNA from 1 species
AAAAACAUGUCUUUUUGUGAAUGAAUUUAAAGUCGGGCCUGCCCACUGAAUGUAUUGAAGGGCCGCGGUAUUUUGACCGUGCAAAGGUAGCAUAAUCAUUAGUCUUUUAAUUGAAGGCUGGAAUGAAUGGUUUGACGAAGUAUUAACUGUCUCUUUGUAAGAUGUAGAAUUUAACUUUUAAGUUAAAAGGCUUAAAUAGUGGUAAAGGACGAGAAGACCCUAUAGAGUUUUAUAUAAAUUAGUGGAUAAAUUUAUUUAGAGGUUGGGAUUUUUAUUCAUAAUUUAUAUUGUGUUGGGGUGACAUAAAGAUAAGAGAAACUCUUUAUUAUUAAGUACAUAAAUUUAUGGAUAAUUGAUCCAUUAUUAAUGAUUAAAAGAUAAAAUUACCUUAGGGAUAACAGCGUAAUUUUUCUAAAGAGUUCAUAUCGAAAGAAAAGUUUGCGACCUCGAUGUUGGAUUAAGAAAAUGAUUAGGUGUAGCAGUUUAAUUAAUAAGUCUGUUCGACUUUUAAAAUCUUACGU